CUUGAUUUCUUCACUUUAAGGAGGUUCAGCUUGUCACCGAACAUUCUGGUCAUGUUGAGUGAGAGAAGAGGGUAACAAGUGCACUGAUGACACAGUAGCUGCUCCACAGGCAAGUUCUGGAGACACAACAGACUGCGGAUGCUGGAAUCCAGAGGGAAAAAGUGGGUCUGCUAGAGGGAGGCAGCACCAGAGGAGGGAAAUGGACUGUCGAACGUUGACUGCCCGAGCCACCAAGUUCCUCCAGCAGCUAAUUGUUUGUUCAAGUAAAUCCUGGACUUGCAUGGAACUGCUUUAUGUCUGGAAUUAGCUGAGUGAUGGAUGCCAGUGCACGUGUUACACUAUCCAUUGUUGAGGUCCACAGAAAGUCCAUCAGCAGGGACAUUGAUCGGGUGAAUUUUCUUUAUGUGAGUUGCUGUGACACAGAGGGACCCUGCAAGCUGUAGACAAGGUCAUCUGGCCAAGAGGUGAAUGGGAGCAGUUAGACAGCGGGAACAGACAAAAGAAUGUGUGAGUUGUGAAAGGCAGAGCAAAAGGACAAGCCUCCCACUCUCCGGGGUGAAUAGAACAGAACUUCACUGGCAUUGCUGAAGGCAACGAGAUUGCAGAGAAAACAACCCAAGCUGAUAUUGCAGAUGUAUAACCAAAGCAGACCGAGAAAUCAAGUGACCCGAAAUUAGACCAUAAGACAUGGCAGCAGAAUUAGGCCAUCUGGCCCAUCGAGUCUGCUCCACCAUUCAAUCAUGGCUGAUCCUUUUUCUCUCCUCCUCAACCCCAUUUCCCGGCACCUUUGAUGCUGUGGCCAGUCAAGAACCUAUAGAGCUUUGCCUUAAAUAUACCCAACGACCUGCCUGUGGCAACAAAUUCCACAUAUUCACCACCCUCUGGCUGAAGAAAUUUCUCCGCAUCUCUAUGUUAAAUGGACACCCCUCUAUCCGGAGGCUGCACCCUCUUGUCCUAGACUCCCCCAGCACGGGAAGCAUCCUUUCCACAUCUACUCUGUCUAGGCCCGUCAACAUUCAAAAGGUUUCAAUGAGAUCAGCACCCCCCCCCCAUCCUUCUAAAUUCCAGCAAGUACAGACCCAGUUCCUCGUAUAAAUAACCCUUUCAUUCCUAGAAUCAUCCUUGUGAACCUCCCUUGGACCCUCUCCAACGUCAGCACAUCUCUUCUAAGAAGAGGAGCCCAAAACUGUACACAAUACUCAAGGUGAGGCCUCACCAGUGCCUUAAAGCCUCAGCAUCACAUCCUUGCUCUUGUAUUCUAGACCUCCUGAAACAUUGCAUUUGCUUUCCUCACCACCGACUCCACCUGCAAGUUAACCUUCAGGGUGUUCUGCACAAGGACUCCCAAGUCCCUCCACAUCUCAGAUUUUUGGAUUUUCUCCCCGUUUAGAAAAUAGACUGCACAUUGAUUUCUUCUACCAAAGUGUAUGACCAUGCCUUUUCCAACAUUGUAUUUCAUUUGCCACUCUCCCUACCUGCCCCUCCACCAAUCUUCGUAUCAUCUGCAAACUUGGCAACAAAGCCAUCCAUUUUAUCGUCUCAAUCAGGGGUGGCCAAACUCUUACAUCCCAUGUGUCAAUUUUUUCACGCACAAGUUUAGAUGUGCCAGACAACUCUUGUACCCCCAUUCAAUUCUUGUAAAAAUAUGUUAAUAUAGACAUAUUUAGCAUUUUUACAUGAUAUGUUGAUUUAAUGCAAAAACAAGAUAAACAUUACUUACCUUAAUGAGACCUUUAACAAAUAGAUUUUGUCUUCUUUCGAUUUCUUCCCUUUUCUUAAUCACAUAUUCGUUCCGUAAUUCAGACCCAAGCACUAGCUUCAGUUUUCCUUCUAUUUCAAUCUGAUGCUGUGUUUUAUGGUGUCUAUUAAGAUCAUGCCUUCUAUUAUGUGAGAAAGUGUUUUCACAAACAAUGCACAAGGGUUUUCCUGACAGAGCCGCUAUAAAUAAGAACUCACUUUCCCACUGUUCAUUGAAUUCACGUUUACUGUCACUUUCUGCUCUUCUUUUGCUCAUUUCCUUUUGCACUGUGAUGGGUAACUGAAUGUAAAGACAAGGCUUAAUUGCAGAUGUUGACAAAGGACGAACAAAGCACAACUCCACAGCACACAAGUGUCAAUUGUAAACUGACUGGCAAAAACCUGCGACACACCACUGGUGCAGAUGCCUGGCACCUCAGGAUCAAACAAGUAUCAAACAUGUAUUGAACAGUUAUGGAACGACUGCAGAACAAAAGUCCUUCUUUCCUAGCUUGACUCAUUGAACAUUUUUUAAAAUUGAAAAUAGAUUAAUGUGAAAGAAGAUAACAUUCGCCAAAAGCUGUGCACGAAAUAAUAAAAUCACUAAAAAUAAUUACUAAGUUUUAGAUUUAUUCUCAGUAAAACCCAUUUCUAGCUCUAAGCUACUUGAAUUCCUGUUAUAGAUUUUUUUUCUACAAAUUGGUUUUUGGUUAAUACUUUUUGCAUGAGUAGGCUUUUUUUUAUUAUUAUCACUGGGGUGCAACGUGCCUCUUCUAAUCAUCCAAUGCACCACUUU